CCUACGGGAGGCAGCAGUGAGGAAUAUUGGUCAAUGGGCGCAAGCCUGAACCAGCCAAGUCGCGUGAAGGAAGACUGCCCUACGGGUUGUAAACUUCUUUUAUAAGGGAAUAAAGUGAGGCACGUGUGCCUUUUUGUAUGUACUUUAUGAAUAAGGAUCGGCUAACUCCGUGCCAGCAGCCGCGGUAAUACGGAGGAUCCGAGCGUUAUCCGGAUUUAUUGGGUUUAAAGGGAGCGUAGAUGGGUUGUUAAGUCAGUUGUGAAAGUUUGCGGCUCAACCGUAAAAUUGCAAUUGAUACUGGCAGCCUUGAGUGCAGGUGAGGUAGGCGGAAUGCGUGGUGUAGCGGUGAAAUGCUUAGAUAUCACGCAGAACUCCGAUUGCGAAGGCAGCAUACCAAGCUGCCACUGACGUUGAGGCACGAAAGUGUGGGUAUCAAACAGGAUUAGAUACCCUGGUAGUC
rnacentral:rRNA from 1 species